GGAAUAUUGGGCAAUGGGCGCAAGCCUGACCCAGCCAUGCCGCGUGCAGGAAGACGGUCCUAUGGAUUGUACACUGCUUUUAUACGGGAAGAAACACCCCCUCGUGAGGGGGCUUGACGGUACCGUAAGAAUACGGAUCGGCUAACUACGUGCCAGCAGCCGCGGUAAUACGGAGGAUCCAAGCGUUAUCUGGAAUCAUUGGGUUUAAAGGGUCCGUAGGCGGCCUUAUAAGUCAUUGGUGAAAUCUCCUAGCUCAACUAGGAAACUGCCAUUGAUACUGUAGGGCUUGAAUUAUUAUGAAGUAACUAGAAUAUGUAGUGUAGCGGUGAAAUGCUUAGAUAUUACAUGGAAUACCAAUUGCGAAGGCAGGUUACUAAUAAUAUAUUGACGCUGAUGGACGAAAGCGUGGGUAGCGAAC
rnacentral:rRNA from 1 species